rnacentral:rRNA from 1 species
GCUGCUCCUAGUACGAGAGGACCGGAGUGAACGAACCCCUGGUGUUCGGGUUGUGUCGCCAGACGCAUUGCCCGGUAGCUAUGUUCGGACAGGAUAACCGCUGAAAGCAUCUAAGCGGGAAGCCUCCUUCAAGAUUAGAUUUCCCUGGACCUUUAAGGUCCCUGAAGUGCCCUCGAAGACUACGAGGUUGAUAGGCUGGGUGUGGAAGUUCAGUAAUGAAUGAAGCUAACCAGUACUAAUUGCAC